rnacentral:lncRNA from 1 species
CUCGGCAGCCGGCCUUAGCCUGGAGGAGCAACCCUGGUCCAGAGAGGCAGACGAAUGGCGGCCCUGCCCCGUGGGGGCUCCGGUUCUUCUCCUCCAUCCUCCUCCAGGCUCCGCCCACCUGCUCCGUCUGCAUCCCAGGGCCUCGUGAAUCCCAGGGAAGCCAUGAGCUGCCACAUCACGCCCGGAAGGAAGCGGGCUGCGUUGGAGGGUGAAAGACGCACCAGCAACUUAGAAUUCGAGGCACUGCGGAGCUGGAAGGGGCCUCGGCGCUGCUCCCUCCGCCCCCUCAUUUCACAAACCGGAAAGCUGAGACCCAAAGCAAGGAAGGGACUUGGCCAAGGUCAGAGCUCAUCUGGGACCACACGAAGAUGAUAACUUGCUAGGAGUUUUGCAAAUGGGUUUGUCUACAGUUUGGUAGAAUUAAAACAUUUUUUUUUAGUUCAAAUUUUCAACAGUGGCCGGCUUCCUCUGAUCCACAGUGGUGGAGCACUGUGAUUGACAUUCAGCUGCAAAGCUCUUGCUGGGAAACGCGGUGACCGAGCCGUCAGCACAGGCGGCAGCUGCCUCCCACACUUAAGACAGGACUUCUAAAGCCACAGUCCCUGUGUGAGCCUCCUGGAGCUCACAGUCCCUCAAACGGCAGGCAGGUUUGUGAAUGUUUCCGUGUUCUGAACAUUUUUCUGAAAAAGGGUUCACAGCUUUAAUUGAUUUACAAAGAGACGUACACCAUGGAAGAGAUUGAGAAUCAUUUCCUUAAAGCAACAAGAAUCUAGGCUGGGGAGAAAUCAGAUUUUAGGAACGAGCUGCUAGGCAUCUUAGCAGCAUUCAGAGACAUGAAAGCAUUGCAUUGUUUCCUAGAUUUAAGAGCAUAUAUUUUGCAACAUGAAAGGGCUUCUAUGCUCUAGAAUGUAAGUUCCUCAAGGAUAGGGGUCUAGUCUAUCUCUUCACCUAAGGUAUCCUUAGAUCCUGGAUCAGCCUGCGCGUAAUCACAGGUGCGAACACACAUGUGAUUAAUUUGUUAGUCUGCACAGCACUUCUCUUUCCAUGCCCACUCCUGCCUGGUCUCCAGCAGUCGUGAGAAUUGCCAUCGUUAAGGAAACCCUGAUGCAAGAAUUGCAAGAAUGACUCUGUUUGUUUGUUUGUUUGUUUAUUGAGACGGAGUCUCGCUCUGUCGCCCAGGCUGGAGUGCAGUGGCGCGAUCUCGGCUCCCUGCAAACUCCACCUACCGGGUUCACGCCAUUCUCCUGCCUCAGCCUCCCGAGUAGCUGGGACUACAGGCGCCCGCCUGCGCGCCCGGCUAAUUUUUUGUAUUUUUAGUAGAGACGGGGUUUCACCGUGUUAGCCAGGAUGGUCUCGAUCUCCUGACCUCGUGAUCCGCCCGCCUCGGCCUCCCAAAGUGCUGGGGUUACAGGCGUGAGCCACCGCGCCCGGCCAAGAAUGACUUUGUAAAUCAGUGUUGACAUUCAGGACCUUUUUCAUUUCGUGUUAAAGACUGAUCACCCUGGGAAAAUCAAGGCAGUCCAGCCAAACCCCAACUCCCAAUCAAAUGCAGUUUGUAUCGAACCCCACGACUGCCCAGCACCUUUGGGAAGCCCAUUGCUUUCUGUGCAGACGCAGAGCUCCCAGAAAGCACAGGUGGAUGUGCUCAGCUUGCCUUGUGACGUGAAUGCCUGAAAACAGAACAGGACUAAAAA